ACCGGCGGACCCAUGUUGUAAGUAGGGUGGUCAACUGACCCACCUAAAAUAUAUAAAUUUUAUGUUUUACGUAUAAGAUAUUUUGUCUUUUGGCAGAUAUGGCUAUGUUUGCACCACCUAAAGUUUGAGGACGUAGGUUCGAUUCAUUCACUGCAAUAAUUUUUUUAUAUUUUUCAAUUUCCUUUUUCUGGAGCAUGUGUAAUGCUCUCAUUUACUUAAUUAAUUAUGUCUUCUU
rnacentral:lncRNA from 1 species